GAUACUUCUUUGGUAUAGAUUUGUCAAUUGCGGCCUUGAGAUUCCGUUCCUUUGCUCUUUUGAUGGGAUGAUGUUUUUCUUGGUUUUAGUUUAGUAUAUAAAGACAUUGUAGCUGACAUUCAAAUUAUAUUUUCUUAUCUCCUGCUGUGAGUAUAGAAAGUUAUCUGUCAAAAUGACCGUUUUUUGGUUACUCCUUCUUUUCGCCGCCAUGUUUUUCGGUAUUUAGCCCAGUACGUCUAUAGCCCAUAUUAUUAUGGUGCCCAUUCUGCUGUAUACCCUUACGCCUACAACUACGCUUACAACCCUGCUGCUUAUUAUUGGAAGUGAGCCUUUGAAUAAUAUUGAUAUCGACUAGACCGGUGUCGAAUUUAGGACAUGAUUUCGGAUAGAGUUGAUGUUUGGAAUAAAUUCUCAACCUUUUCAUCUUCUAUUGUUGACUUUGAAAUAUUCUUUGUCCUAAACCAAUGCUUUUACCCUUUAAAUGUUAAUAAAGUUUGAAAAAUGCACAA